rnacentral:rRNA from 1 species
ACACGACUACAUUAGAUACCCCCGUAGUCCCAGCCCUAAACGAUGCGCGUUAGGUGUAUCGGUGACCACGAGUCACCGAGGUGCCGAAGGGAAACCGUGAAACGUGCCGCCUGGGAAGUACGGUCGCAAGGCUGAAACUUAAAGGAAUUGGCGGGGGAGCACCGCAACGGGAGGAGCGUGCGGUUCAAUUGGAUUCAACGCCGGACAACUCACCAGGAGCGACGGUUACAUGAAGGCCAGGCUGAUGACCUUGCCUGAUUUUCCG